GAUAAAAAAAGAUUAAUUUGGAAAAAGAUUAUUAUUUACAAGUAAUAAGAUUUUUUUUAAUAAAUUAGUUUAAAAAGAAAGUCUUUUUUUUUAGUUUUUAAUAGUUUGAUAAUUUAAAUAAUCAAACAACAAAACAAAUAUGUAUAUAAACACAUAAAUAUUUACACAUGUAAUAAAAUAAAUAAAUAAAUAUAUAAAUAAAAUGUUCAAUAUUAUUUACAAAUAGUGGUUGAAAUGAAUAACAUAAAAUAAAAUAUAAAAUAACAAAAGAAAAAAUGAAAACAAAUUAAACAAAAGAAACAAGUAAACAUGGGCUAAAAAACCCAAAUAAAGGGGUGUGCAUAUCAUAGACGUGGGGUAAGGCCCAAAAGUGGUCCAAAUAAAGGGGUGUGCAUAGCAUAGACGUGGGAUAAGACCCAAAACUGGUCCAAAUAAAGGGGUGUGCAUAUCAUAGACGUGGGGUAAGACCCAAAAGAUCAGGACUCAUCCAUAUGGCAUAUUGUGGACGGUUGAAAGAUCAGUUAUUAACAUGUGAAUGGGAGAAAGGGAUUCAUUUCUCACUUAUUUUUAUCUCUCUUCAAUUCGUACCUCUCUCACACUCUCUGAAUAAAAACACAAACACACAUGAACAAUGGGUGGUGGAGGAUCCGAGCCGGUCGAACCUAUGAAGGUAUGUGACAAUGCAUAUGAAUGUGCAUGGUGGUGUAACAGCUGGAAUUCAUAUUGAACCUCCUCCUAGGGGUUCUCAACCUUAUAAACUCAAAUUCGAACUCCAAAUCCCCAGAAACCUCAUAUAAACCCCUCAAUUGAAAUCACAGUAACAAACCCUAAUUUCCAAACUAAAAAAACCCAAUAAACACGAACACAAUGAAAUCAACAAAGAAGAAAAGCCUAAAUGCGACAAGCAACAUAGUUAAUCAUGGAAAAUGCAAAAGGGAGAUAAGGAAGUUACCCGACCGGACAUUACCGGUGAAAAGACUUCAUCGGAGUAAUUUCCUUUCUCUUUUUGUUUCUUCUUUCUAAAACUCUCAUCUACUCCUUCUUUUUCGAUUAUGGCUUUGCUUGAUGUGCUGGUUUUGUUGUAUUUGUGUUGUUGUUAUUAGCCUUGUCUAAAUCUUAAGCUCAAUUUGAUCAAGAGUUUCAAAUGUGAAGCUCUGAACAACCAGAAUGAAGGAGCUCUAUUGAUUUUGGUUUUAGGGAUUUUGUGAAUGUAGUCUGAGUUUUUUUGAUAGCUCUAAGAUUUAGGGUUUUCCAAUUUUGCGUUCUUGCCUCUCAAUAGGUUUUCUCUCUGUGUAUCUUUGUCGCGCCGCGAAAAAUACAUAGUCG
rnacentral:lncRNA from 1 species